GGAAUAAAGCUCAAGUUUAUGCUAUUUUCUAGCAAGUCCAUGAUUUAAUGCUGUCAAAAAGCAAUGGAUUCCAGCGAAGACGAAAUCGUGCGGCCGCUUAAAAGGUUCAGAAAAGCCAAAAGUAAAGAUAAGGAAGAAGUAGCUUUGUCGCAAGCUGUACCCGCGUCGACAAGAUACAAGAAGUGGUGUGUCAACAUGUUUGAAAACUGGCGUGCUGACCGAGUGAACAAAAUAACCGCAAAGGAGUCAACAAUCUUCAAUAUAAGACUAUCCGAUCUUGAAAACCUCGACAGCGCAUGUGUGGAAUCCAUGUCGGCUCCUUCCCUUAAUUUCUGGAUCGGAAAAUUCAUCCAAUAAGUUGCAGAUAAACAAGCUAACCGAUACCCCGCUCCAACUUUAUACCAGAUCUUGGCUGGUCCUAUGAUGCACCCAAUGGCCCUGUAAACAUAAGUGGUAGCUGCAAUAUUACUAUUAUUUACUUCUAGUUGUAGGUUCUAUAACCUACCUAUUGUAACUUGAUCAAUGAUUAAGGUGAGGACAAAAUAAAGUGCUGUUUGUGAGUA